CAUGAGUAAGUGCAUGUGAGCAUGUGCACACCUGUGCGUGUGCAUGUGCCUGUGAGCAUUGUGUGCGUGAUGGGAGCCAUGGGUGCUGUGUGGACAGCCCCUCUGCCCCUCCCAUGGGCUCCCGCGCCCAGCAUCCACUUGAGAGAGGAGGGAGCUGCCUUUGAAUUCUGCAGUCUGUGUGCUGAGGCCCCACAGAGGCAAGUGGAGGAGCUGGGAUGUGAACCUGGGACCCCAGGGUAGGGGGCUGCUUGGCUGUGGACCCUGCCCCUCAGGAAAGCCCAGGGUCCACCUCCAGAGUACUCGUUUUGGGGUGGGGGCAGGGACGGGGGCCUCCUCACCCGGGGCUUGAUGAGGGGCUGUCCAUUUCUUGGCUCGAGUGCUGCCAAGUGCUCCCUGCUGCUGCGCCCACCUUCCCGGGGAGAGGCGAGCCCCUGGCUCCCUGUGUUUGUGACCCACCCUGUCCACCAUCAGCAGCUGGCUUGUCUCUGGGUGGCUGGACACCAGCCUCCUGGAGGCCACGUGCCUGGGUCCACAUGGAGGGUCCUGGUGGGGGCAUCAUCCUGGGUCCGGGGAGUGAGGCUGGCAGGUGAGCAGUCAGGCUGUGGCUAGGGCAGUUGCCCAUCGGGGGUGUCAAGGCCGGGGGGAUCAAAGCUCCGGAAGCUCAAGGGGGCUCUGGCCUUGGGGACGAGUUGAGUAUCCAGCUGGCAGCCAGGUCCUCGAGGGAAGGGGUUGGGACAGAAUCCGAGGCCCCCUGAGCUGAUGGGUCCCCUGUCUCCCCUGCCAGCCCUGACCCACUGGACAGCCCUGACCCACUUUCCAGUCCAGAGAGCUCCUUGUCUGCGUCCCCAGCAGAAGGUGGGUGGCUCCUGCCUCACCCUCUGCCCAGCGCUGAUCCAGGCCACAGCCAUCUAGGGCCCUGGAAGGAGGGGCAGGAGGCAGGGGUGGCUUCUGGAACCUGAGGGUUGGCUCCGGUUGGGUCUGUCCUUGGGGGCUGCACUGCUGGAUCCCAGGAGCUGGUCUGGAACAGCCCCAUGGCCAGGGUGACGGAAAUCCUCGGCUGCAUGCAGACACAGACCCACCCCGGACUGGGCUGUCCCGGGAGCCCAGACACAUCACCCUGCGAAGGGGCAGCUGGGCCUGGAGUGUGCUGGGCAGGGGCUGGGGGCCCUGGUCGUGGGCUCUCCACGGUCCCUCAGGGGGUUGGGCCUCUCCCCAGGCAGGAAGGCGGGAAGGGCAGGCAUGACCCGGGGUUCCUGAGGCGGGUCCACCAAGUUGCUUCUGAGACGCCUUUGCUUCUCUCCUGGCUGUCUGUUAAUGAUAUCCCUGUUCUAAUUCCACUCUGGCUAAACUGAAAGUAAAGAUCCUUAAGCUUA